rnacentral:rRNA from 1 species
CAAUAGCGUAUAUUAAAGUUGUUGCGGUUAAAAAGCUCGUAGUUGGAGUUCUGCCAGGUGACGCUCGUCCGCCCAAGUGGUGUGUACAGGGCGUGCAUCUGGCCCUUUCAAGGGGAACGUGUCUGCACUUUACUGUGUGGUGCGAGAUCCUUGACUUUUACUUUGAGGAAAUCAGAGUGUUCCAAGCAGGCUCUCGUCGUGUAUAGCUCAGCAUGGAAUAAUAGCAUUGGACUUCGUUUCUAAGCUGUUGGUUGCAAGAAGCGAGGUAAUGAUGAAGAGGGAUAGUUGGGGGCAUUCGUACUUAACUGUCAGGGGUGAAAUUCUUGGAUUUGUUAAAGACGGACUACUGCGAAAGCAUCUGCCAUGGAUGUUUUCAUUGA